GACGAACGCUCGCAGCGUGCUUAACACAUGCAAGUCAAACGGAAAGGCCCUGCUUUUGGGGCGUGCUCGAGUGGCGAACGGGUGAGUCACACGUGAGUAACCUGCCCUUGACUUUGAGAUAACUUCAGCAAACUGGGGCUACUACCGGAUAGGAGCACCUGCUGCAUUGUGGGCGUUGGAAAGUUUCGGCGGUUGGGGAUGGACUCGCGGCUUCUCAGCUUGUUGGUUGGGUAGUGGCUUACCAAGGCUUUGACGGGUAGCCGGCCUGAGAGGGUGACCGGCCACCUUGGCACUGAGAUACGGCCCAGACUCCUACGGGAGGAAUGAGUGGGGAAGACUGCACAAUCGGAGGAAUCCUGAUGCAGCACCGCAGCAUGCGGGAUGCAGGUAUUCCGGUUGUAGGCCGCUAACGCCUGUGGCGUAGCGUGAGUGACGGUAAUGGGUAAAGGAGCCAGGGCUAGAUACGUG
rnacentral:rRNA from 1 species